UGGGGAAUAUUGGACAAUGGGGGAAACCCUGAUCCAGCAAUGCCGCGUGGGUGAUGAAGGCCUUCGGGUUGUAAAGCCCUUUUGGCGGGGACGAUGAUGACGGUACCCGCCGAAUAAGCUCCGGCUAACUUCGUGCCAGCAGCCGCGGUAAUACGAAGGGAGCUAGCGUUGUUCGGAAUUACUGGGCGUAAAGGGCGCGUAGGCGGCUUCGCUAGUUGGGCGUGAAAUGCCUGGGCUUAACCCAGGAAUUGCGCCCAAUACUUCGAGGCUCGAGUGUGGGAGAGGAUAGUGGAAUUCCCAGUGUAGAGGUGAAAUUCGUAGAUAUUGGGAAGAACACCAGCGGCGAAGGCGGCUAUCUGGACCACAACUGACGCUGAGGCGCGAAAGCGUGGGGAGCAAACAG
rnacentral:rRNA from 1 species